rnacentral:rRNA from 1 species
GAUGAACGCUGGCGGCGUGCCUAAUACAUGCAAGUCGAACGAACUUCCGUUAAUUGAUUAUGACGUACUUGUACUGAUUGAGAUUUUAACACGAAGUGAGUGGCGAACGGGUGAGUAACACGUGGGUAACCUGCCCAGAAGUAGGGGAUAACACCUGGAAACAGAUGCUAAUACCGUAUAACAGAGAAAACCGCAUGGUUUUCUUUUAAAAGAUGGCUCUGCUAUCACUUCUGGAUGGACCCGCGGCGUAUUAGCUAGUUGGUGAGGUAAAGGCUCACCAAGGCAGUGAUACGUAGCCGACCUGAGAGGGUAAUCGGCCACAUUGGGACUGAGACACGGCCCAGACUCCUACGGGAGGCAGCAGUAGGGAAUCUUCCACAAUGGACGCAAGUCUGAUGGAGCAACGCCGCGUGAGUGAAGAAGGGUUUCGGCUCGUAAAGCUCUGUUGUUAAAGAAGAACGUGGGUAAGAGUAACUGUUUACCCAGUGACGGUAUUUAACCAGAAAGCCACGGCUAACUACGUGCCAGCAGCCGCGGUAAUACGUAGGUGGCAAGCGUUAUCCGGAUUUAUUGGGCGUAAAGCGAGCGCAGGCGGUCUUUUAAGUCUAAUGUGAAAGCCUUCGGCUCAACCGAAGAAGUGCAUUGGAAACUGGGAGACUUGAGUGCAGAAGAGGACAGUGGAACUCCAUGUGUAGCGGUGAAAUGCGUAGAUAUAUGGAAGAACACCAGUGGCGAAGGCGGCUGUCUGGUCUGCAACUGACGCUGAGGCUCGAAAGCAUGGGUAGCGAACAGGAUUAGAUACCCUGGUAGUCCAUGCCGUAAACGAUGAUUACUAAGUGUUGGAGGGUUUCCGCCCUUCAGUGCUGCAGCUAACGCAUUAAGUAAUCCGCCUGGGGAGUACGACCGCAAGGUUGAAACUCAAAAGAAUUGACGGGGGCCCGCACAAGCGGUGGAGCAUGUGGUUUAAUUCGAAGCUACGCGAAGAACCUUACCAGGUCUUGACAUCUUCUGACAGUCUAAGAGAUUAGAGGUUCCCUUCGGGGACAGAAUGACAGGUGGUGCAUGGUUGUCGUCAGCUCGUGUCGUGAGAUGUUGGGUUAAGUCCCGCAACGAGCGCAACCCUUAUUACUAGUUGCCAGCAUUAAGUUGGGCACUCUAGUGAGACUGCCGGUGACAAACCGGAGGAAGGUGGGGACGACGUCAAAUCAUCAUGCCCCUUAUGACCUGGGCUACACACGUGCUACAAUGGAUGGUACAACGAGUCGCGAGACCGCGAGGUUAAGCUAAUCUCUUAAAACCAUUCUCAGUUCGGACUGUAGGCUGCAACUCGCCUACACGAAGUCGGAAUCGCUAGUAAUCGCGGAUCAGCAUGCCGCGGUGAAUACGUUCCCGGGCCU